AACGUAGGACGCAAGCGUUAUCCGGAGUUACUGGGCGUAAAGCGCGGGCAGGCGGCUCGAUGCGUCUGAUGUGAAAUCUCCUCGCUCAACGGGGAGAGGCCAUUGGAAACGGUCGAGCUGGAGGGCAGUAGAGGUAGGCGGAAUUCCGGGUGGAGUGGUGAAAUGCGUAGAGAUCCGGAGGAACACCAGAGGCGAAGGCGGCCUACUGGGCUGCACCUGACGCUGAGGCGCGAAAGCUAGGGGAGCGAACGGG
rnacentral:rRNA from 1 species